GAUUUUUAUCCGAAGUAUCCUUUAUGGAUAGUUUGAGUCAGCUUGUGUCUUUCCAAUGGAUGUGUCUUCCUUUGGAAUUCUUCUUUUCCCUGUUUGAGUCCUUCACUUCCCAGUGAGGUCUCUAAUCCAGUCGUGCUUUGUUCACGCCGUGUCAAUUUUACCCUAAUUCAGAGUCGUGUCCUGCUCACGCAUUCUUUUUCUUUUUCUUAUCCCCAU
rnacentral:lncRNA from 1 species